rnacentral:rRNA from 1 species
UUUAAAUAAUUAUUUUAAAUAAAAUCUGCUCAAUGAAAUUUAAAUAGCCGCAGAUAUUCUGUGCUAAGGUAGCAUAAUCACUUGUUUUUUAAUUUAAAACUAGAAUGAAUGAUUUUACGUUCUAAUUUAUUUAUUUUUUAUAAAUAAUUUAAUUUAUAUUAAAUAUAAAAAUAUAUUUAUAAAAUAAUUAGACGACAAGACCCUAUUGAAUUUUACUUAUGUUUAGCUGGGGCAGCUUUUUAAUAUAUAUUUUAAAUUUAUACUUAAAAUUUUUCUAAUAUUAUUAAUUUUAAAAAUUACCAUAGGGAUAACAGCGUAAUAAUAUUUUUAAGUUCUUAUUUUAAAUAUUGAUUGCGACCUCGAUGUUGAAUUAUUAUUUCUUUUAUACGCAAUAGUUUAAAUAGUAGGUCUGUUCGACCUUUAAUAUAUUACA